rnacentral:lncRNA from 1 species
UAAGUAAAAUGGGUAAUUCACGUUGGUCCUGUUUUCAAAAAUCUGAUUCCAACAGGGUGUGUAUCCUACAGGAGUUCUCAGAUAGCUCGAAUAAAGCCAAGUCAGAGUAUUGGAACAGGAUCUACAAGAUCCACCCCUGUGCUGAGAUUACCACAUAGUUCUUGUCCAUCAUCGUCUGGAUCCCAAAGCAGUCUAAGGGGAUCAUGGGCUAAUUCUGAUUUCAGAACCCCUCAGCUGUAUCCAUUUACAUCACCUUCCCCACAGCUGCCUUUGUCCAGGCAGCCAAUCACCAUCUCUGGACUUCUGCAAAGACAACAAGGAUCAACUAAUUUAGGAGGACGUUCAGCAGACAGAUGAGCUAACAUCUCUGAAUUGUUUUGGUUAAGAAGCAUCUGGAGAAGCACUGCAUAGUCUCUGGAUAUCCAAGUAUUUGUAACUUCCCCAAUAUGUCAAAUUGGCAUAAACCAGCAAAUUGUUCAGCAUGAAUACUGUAUUUAAAACAUCACUGAUCUUUCUGAUUUACUGAAGUUUUAGAUGGGAGUGCAAAAUUCUCUUGUUUUUCAAAAUUCUGGCUUCAAAUAUAUUGCAUAAAUAAAUCCUUCAUUACCUAAGUGUUAAGGCA